rnacentral:rRNA from 1 species
GGCGGCGUGGAUUAGGCAUGCAAGUCGAACGUGAAAGCGGAAUUUAUUUCGCGAGUAAAGUGGCGAACGGGUGAGUAACACGUGGGAAACCUGCCUUGAAGCGGGGGAUAACAUUUCUAACGGAAUGCUAAUACCGCAUAAUAUUUUCUGGCGCAUGUCAGAAAAUCAAAGGUGGCCUCUUCUUGAAAGCCAUCACUUUGAGAUGGUCCCGCGUCCAAUUAGCUUGUUGGUGGGGUAAUGGCCUACCAAGGCGACGAUUGGUAGCCGGCCUGAGAGGGUGACCGGCCACACUGGGACUGAGACACGGCCCAGACUCCUACGGGAGGCAGCAGUCGAGAGGCUUCGGCAAUGGGGGAAACCCUGACCGAGCGACGCCGCGUGGACGAUGAAGUAUUUCGGUACGUAAAGUCCUGUCAUGAGGGAUGAAAAGUCGAUUGGCUAAUACCCUUUCGAUCUGACAGUACCUCAAGAGGAAGCUCCGGCUAACUCCGUGCCAGCAGCCGCGGUAAUACGGGGGGAGCGAGCGUUAUUCGGAUUCAUUGGGCGUAAAGAGUUCGUAGGCGGCCUGAUAAGUCAGAGGUGAAAUCUAACGGCUUAACCGUUAGCCUGCCUUUGAAACUGUCAGGCUUGAGUAUUGGAGAGGAAAGCGGAAUUCUUGGUGUAGCGGUGAAAUGCGUGGAUAUCAAGAGGAACACCCGUGGCGAAAGCGGCUUUCUGGCCAAAUACUGACGCUGAGGAACGAAAGCUAGGGGAGCGAACGGGAUUAGAUACCCCGGUAGUCCUAGCCGUAAACGAUGGGCACUAGGUGUA